rnacentral:lncRNA from 1 species
ACACACCGACACCAGUGACAUAUCAAGCGCCCAACGGAGCAGACUUUGAGUGUUUGUUGACUGGUGACAAAAUGGUGCCGAGGUACUCACAAGACUGUCUGGAUAUUUUUCUUGAAGAGACUUGAACCUCUGGGAGUGAAGAUCUUAUGUCCAGAAAAGUUCAAAGAUGGAGAAAAUAUUAUUGUCUGCCUGAUCAACAGUACAGCUGUAAAGGAAGCAGACUGCUCAUCAUCACAGCCUUUCGUGACAUUUGAGAAAACACAAAAUUCUUCUACACUAACUAAGUGCUACACACCAAGCUUCAAUUCUUCAACAUGCAGUCCUACUCACGAGGAAGACACUAAUUGCUGGUGUAACAAGUCAGAUGGAGAUAUCUUUAAUUACACAUUUGUUUACAAUGCCAGUCGCUCCCAAGAUGUAGGAGCUCAGCUGUGGUGCAAAGUUUGUCCAUCGCCAAAUCAUCAUUUGGAUGAAGAAAUAAGCGAGAGCUGCAAAAAUCUACAGUUUGAAGUAUUGUCUGACAAGGAUUCUCUGAGUGGAAGAGAUUCCCAGCACCAACCAGCCAACAGUAGAGCAGCAGCUGACCCAGUUUUCCCUACAUUCAUUCUGAUGACGAUGCUAUUUUUAGCCUGGGUGAUCCACUAAUUGUUUACUCGUCUGUUUAUAUUUUGAAUAUGUGUGUGUAAAUUACGUCAUGUGACCUCCGGGUACUACAUCACUGCAUUCUUCAUCUGCUUCUUGGACUUUCGUGAAUCUAUGUCUCAAGGAACUCAUAAGGGACACCACUCUUUCCUUAAAGUGCCAAGAGCAACUUAUCUCCCCCUUCCAGAAUGCCUGCUUGGAUUACUUCCUCCCAUUUUCUAUUACUGCUUUUAUGAGAUAUGCUGAGGACGGUUCAUUUGUUGGAAAGAAUAGAAAGAAAUGGUACUAAUUUAUUUGUACAUGCGCAUGCUUGCGUAAAUGCGUAGAAGAUCGUAGUCUAGUUGUAGGAGUUAACCUGCCAUCAAGCAAGUGGACACCGUCCUACUGCACAUCCUACCCCAGGAAAUCACCGGAACAUGUGCUACAAUAUUGUGCUCUCACCUGUCUGCUGCUUACAAACUGCUCGGUCCCAUCUAUUGGUCAUGAAGCCCACAACACUUGGGUUUGUUCUACACGUCUUCUGGACUGUUACUUUCUUAACCAAAAGACAAGGUGUGUCAAAAUGCAAGACAAAGUACAAUGCUGCCUUUCCUCAUUCCUCUUCCACAUGGUAUUUUUGUAAUAUAUACAUUAUUUUCAAACACAAAAGUUUACUACCAGCGAACGAUCGUCGAAUGUACUCUUUCCAUCUUACCAUCAUUUUGUAUCUUACUAUCAUCUUAGAAACCCUUCCCAAGCAUGUUCUAUGGUACUUUGGAUAAGAAAACAUGUAAAGUAUUAAGGCACACCCACACGUGGUUUUAUUGCAAUAACUCUUGCCAAAAUACAGUUUAAACUGCUUUAUCACUCAUCUCACUCCCUCAGUCCUUCUCUCAGUCUAUCAUUUUCAACUUCAUGUGUAGUCGUUGCAGAGACGUUUUAUUCGCCUGAAGAGGAAUUUCAAUCAGAGAUGGAGAGCUUAAUUUUGGUUAAUU